UACGUAGGGCGCAAGCGUUUGUCCGGAAUUAUUGGGCGUAAAGAGCUCGUAGGCGGCUUGUCGCGUCGGUUGUGAAAGCCCGGGGCUCAACCCCGGGUCUGCAGUCGAUACGGGCAGACUAGAGUGUGGUAGGGGGAGAUCGGAAUUCCUGGUGUAGCGGUGAAAUGCGCAGAUAUCAGGAGGAACACCGGUGGCGAAGGCGGAUCUCUGGGCCAUUACUGACGCUGAGGAGCGAAAGCGUGGGGAGCGAACAGG
rnacentral:rRNA from 1 species